AACCGGAAACCGACACUUCCUGCUUUGCGAGUCUUUGCACUAAGGAGAAAUGUCUCUCUUUUCAACAUCUUUGCUUAAUUUGCCAAUCUUUUCUUUCGCUGCUGAGGAGGAAAUCGCAGCGGCAAAUUCUCGAACUAAUAAACUUGAAAGGAUAAAAGUUCUUCCAUGAAGAAAAUAUCCACAGCUGUCAAGACUGCAUGCUACUUCCAACUCCAGCUGCCAACUGGUCCUCCUGUACUGGCCUGCACAAGAGAUUUACAAAGAAGGCACAGAAAAAGAACAGAUAUGUUAUAGAUACUGAUGGCUGUAGGCAGG